GACGAACGCUGGCGGCGUGCUUAACACAUGCAAGUCGAACGGAAAGGCCUGCUUUCCCUUGUGGAUUGCGGGUACUCGAGUGGCGAACGGGUGAGUAACACGUGAGUGAUCUGCCCCCAACUUGGGUAUAAGCCUGGGAAACUGGGUCUAAUUCCCGACAGGACUGCAGGGUGGUGCCUGUGGUGGAAAACGAUUUUCUAGUGGUUGGGGAUGAGCUCGCGGCCUAUCAGCUUGUUGGUGGGGUAAUGGCCUACCAAGGCGGCGACGGGUAGCCGGCCUGGGGGGGUGGGCGGGCACAUGUGGACUGAGAUACUGCCCAGACUCCUACGGCAGGCAUCAGUGGGGAAUAUGGCACGAGGGGCGGAGGCCUGAGGCAGCGACGCCGCGGGGGGGAUGACGGCCUUCGGGUUGUAAACUCCUUUCGACAGCGAGGAAGCCACCUGGUUGGAAGGGUGGUGACGGUAGUGGGAGAAGAAGCACCGGCUAACUACGUG
rnacentral:rRNA from 1 species